UGGGGAAUUUUGGACAAUGGGCGAAAGCCUGAUCCAGCAAUGCCGCGUGUGUGAAGAAGGCCUUCGGGUUGUAAAGCACUUUUGUCCGGAAAGAAAUGGCUCUGGUUAAUACCUGGGGUCGAUGACGGUACCGGAAGAAUAAGGACCAGCUAACUACGUGCCAGCAGCCGCGGUAAUACGUAGGGUCCAAGCGUUAAUCGGAAUUACUGGGCGUAAAGCGUGCGCAGGCGGUUGUGCAAGACCGAUGUGAAAUCCCCGAGCUUAACUUGGGAAUUGCAUUGGUGACUGCACGGCUAGAGUGUGUCAGAGGGGGGUAGAAUUCCACGUGUAGCAGUGAAAUGCGUAGAGAUGUGGAGGAAUACCGAUGGCGAAGGCAGCCCCUGGGAUAACACUGACGCUCAUGCACGAAAGCGUGGGGAGCAAACAGGAUUAGAUACCCUGGUAGUCCACGCCCUAAACGAUGU
rnacentral:rRNA from 1 species